AACGCGAAGAACCUUACCCAGGCUUGACAUGCACAGGACAGCAACAGAGAUGUUGAUUCCCUUCGGGGCCUGUGCACAGGUGCUGCAUGGCUGUCGUCAGCUCGUGCCGUGAGGUGUUUGGUUAAGUCCAGCAACGAGCGCAACCCUUAUCACUAGUUGCCAACAUUUAAGGUGGGAACUCUAGUGAGACUGCCCGGGUUAACCGGGAGGAAGGUGAGGAUGACGUCAAGUCCGCAUGGCCCUUAUGUCUGGGGCUACACACGUGCUACAAUGGUCGGUACAGAAGGCAGCUAAAUCGCGAGAUCAUGCAAAUCCCAAAAACCGACCUCAGUUCAGAUUGUAGUCUGCAACUCGACUACAUGAAGACGGAAUUGCUAGUAAUGGCGUAUCAGCAACAACGCCGUGAAUACGUUCCCGGGCCUUGUA
rnacentral:rRNA from 1 species